GAUGAACGCUGGCGGCGUGCCUAAUACAUGCAAGUCGAGCGAACAGAUGAGGAGCUUGCUCCUCUGACGUUAGCGGCGGACGGGUGAGUAACAUGUGGAUAACCUACCUAUAAGACUGGGAUAACUUCGGGAAACCGGAGCUAAUACCGGAUAAUAUAUUGAACCGCAUGGUUCAAUAGUGAAAGACGGUUUUGCUGUCACUUAUAGAUGGAUCCGCGCCGCAUUAGCUAGUUGGUAAGGUAACGGCUUACCAAGGCAACGAUGCGUAGCCGACCUGAGAGGGUGAUCGGCCACACUGGAACUGAGACACGGUCCAGACUCCUACGGGAGGCAGCAGUAGGGAAUCUUCCGCAAUGGGCGAAAGUCUGACGGAGCAACGCCGCGUGAGUGAUGAAGGUCUUCGGAUCGUAAAACUCUGUUAUUAGGGAAGAACAAAUGUGUAAGUAACUAUGCACGUCUUGACGGUACCUAAUCAGAAAGCCACGGCUAACUACGUG
rnacentral:rRNA from 1 species